rnacentral:snRNA from 1 species
UUACUUACCUGGCAGGGGAGACACCUUGAUCACGAAGGANAUUUUCCCAGGGUGAGGCUCAACCAUUGCACUCCAGCUGUGCUGACACCUGCGAUUUCCCCAAAUGUGGGAAACUGAAUUACAUAAUUUGUGGUAGUGGGGAACUGCGUGCGCACUUUCCCC